rnacentral:lncRNA from 1 species
CUUACAUUUAAGUAUAAUUAAUUUGAUAAUAAAGAAAAAUCAAACUUUUUAAAAACGUCUUUACAUAUAGAUGAAAAAAAAGCAAAAAUCAUAUUUAUUUGAAAAAAAGAAAAUGAAGAUUAACUCUACAUAUAUUUUUUUUUAAUUAACAUUCGACUUGACGCGGGAACUAACGUCUGAAUUAACAUUUGAAUAAAGAUCUGAAUUAAUUUUUUUUUUUCAAAAAAAAAAAAAAGAAAAAAAAGAAAAAAAAACUGUUAAACAUUUGGGUAGUUAUGCAUGAGUAUACUAUAAGUAGUAGUCACAUAUCCUUAUAAAACAUAUACAUAUGUAUGUCUGUACGUACGUACAGUAUGUAUAUAUAAUAAAAAAAAAAAAAAAAAAAACUUUAUAAAUGUAUUUAGUAACAUAUACAAAGUGAUUAUGUCGAAAUGUUUAAGUAUAAAGAAUCAAUAAUAAAUAUAGUAGGCUUUUCUGAUUUGGAAGAAAAACAAAGAGUAUAUGAAAGGGUUCAGCACUUAUGGAAUAUAGCAUUAUCAACCAUUUAUGAAAAUGCCAAACUAUCAAUGAAAUAUAUAACUUUAAUUAAAAAAAUCACAAAAAAUAAGUUAGAUAUGAGUCAGGUAUGUUGUAAUAAUUGUAAUUUAAUAUAUAUACCAUUUUAUAACUGUACUAUUAUAAAUGAUAAUAAAAAUAAUAAAUUCGGGUAUGAAUGUAUUCUUUGUAAGAAAAAACAAUAUAUUUUUGAAAAUUACACAAUAAGUAAUAUUAAAAGAAAAAUAGAUAAAAAUUUUCAUAAAGUAGGACACACAUUCCUACCAAAAGAAGAGAAUUUAUUUUGUAUUAAUCAAGUUGGUGAAAAUAGUAAUGUGAAAAAUGACAACGAUAACAAAAAUACAUUCAUGCUUAACUAUGGGACAGAUGAUUCUUAUUUACCUAUACCUGCUCUUGAUUUGUCAAAUGAGUUUACUAACAAACAAGACACUCGUAACGAUGAAAAUUAUGUACAUGUAAACAGAUAUUAUACUUUUAAGGACGAUAGUGUUGUGAAUAAUGAACUGUAUAGUAUAGGUCGUGAAAAUUGUUCUGUAGUUAACAAUUUAUCAACCAAUUUAAAUUGUAAAAACAUAAAUAGUUUUUCCUCAAAGAAUGGCAAGGAUGAAAAAGGAAAUGUUUCAAGUUUCCACAUGAAGGGUGUUAAUAAUACAAACACAAAUACCAAAUUAAAUUGUAACAAUAACCUAAGUAAUAAAGAUAACGAAAAUAAAGAAAAUAAAGAAAAUAAAGAAAAUAACGAAAAUAAAGAAAAUAACGAAAAUAAAGAAAAUAAAGAAAAUAAAGAAAAUAACGAAAAUAAAGAAAAUAAAGAAA